rnacentral:rRNA from 1 species
UAGAGUUUGAUUCCUGGCUCAAGAUAAACGCUGGCGGCGCACAUAAGACAUGCAAGUCGAGCGGACUUAACUCAUUCUUUACGAUCGAGAGCGGUUAGUGGCGGACUGGUGAGUAACACGUAAGCAACCUGCCUAUCAGAGGGGAAUAACAGUGAGAAAUCAUUGCUAAUACCGCAUAUGCUAACAGUAUCGCAUGAUACAGUUAGGAAAGGAGCAAUCCGCUGAUAGAUGGGCUUGCGUCUGAUUAGCUAGUUGGUGGGGUAACGGCCUACCAAGGCGACGAUCAGUAGCCGGACUGAGAGGUUGAACGGCCACAUUGGGACUGAGAUACGGCCCAGACUCCUACGGGAGGCAGCAGUCGGGAAUAUUGCGCAAUGGAGGAAACUCUGACGCAGUGACGCCGCGUAUAGGAAGAAGGUUUUCGGAUUGUAAACUAUUGUCGUUAGGGAAGAUACAAGACAGUACCUAAGGAGGAAGCCCCGGCUAACUAUGUGCCAGCAGCCGCGGUAAUACAUAGGGGGCAAGCGUUAUCCGGAAUUAUUGGGUGUAAAGGGUGCGUANACGGAGAAACAAGUUGGUUGUGAAAUCCCUCGGCUCAACUGAGGAACUGCAACCAAAACUAUUUCCCUUGAGUGUCGGAGAGGAAAGUGGAAUUCCUAGUGUAGCGGUGAAAUGCGUAGAUAUUAGGAGGAACACCA